rnacentral:rRNA from 1 species
UACGAAGGGGGCUAGCGUUGCUCGGAAUUACUGGGCGUAAAGCGUGCGCAGGCGGUUCGCCAAGUCAGGUGUGAAAUCCCCGGGCUUAACCUGGGAAUUGCGCUUGAAACUAGCGAGCUUGAGUGUGGCAGAGGGGGGUGGAAUUCCACGUGUAGCAGUGAAAUGCGUAGAGAUGUGGAGGAACACCGAUGGCGAAGGCAGCCCCCUGGGUCAACACUGACGCUCAUGCACGAAAGCGUGGGGAGCAAACAGG